UAUAGAGACUCAGAGCUGCAUAUCAAUAAGCGGAGGAAAAGAAACUAACAAGGAUUCCCUUAGUAACGGCGAGUGAAGCGGGAAGAGCUCAAAUUUGAAAUCUUCAAGGUUCUACCUUGACGAAUUGUAGUUUAUAAGAAGUGUUUUCUGUUAGUAGGAGUGGCAAAAGUUCUUUGGAAUAGGACAUCAUAGAGGGUGAGAAUCCCGUAUUUGUACCAUUCCUCCUAGCUUUGUGAUACACUUUCAACGAGUCGGAUUGUUUGGGAAUGCAGUCCAAAAUGGGUGGUAAAUUUCAUCUAAAGCUAAAUAUUGGCGAGAGACCGAUAGCGAACAAGUACCGUGAGGGAAAGAUGAAAAGAACUUUGAAAAGAGAGUUAAACAGUACGUGAAAUUGUCAAAAGGGAAGCGUUUGACACCAGUGUUGUUUUCUCGAAAAUCAAUUACGAAUGUUUUAUUUUUGAGGAAGUUAUGACUUCAUCGGCUUGCUCCUUUCUUUAUGAAACUUUCUUAAUGCACUUUUCGGUUAACAAGUCAACAUCAAUUUCUUUUGUUGUAAAAGGGUAUGAGGAAGGUGGCUUACGCUUCGGCUCUAAGUGUUUAUAGCCUUUUAUCUCUGCAAUCGGAGAGAUUGAGGUCUGCAGCGUAGAUCCUUCGGGGUUAGAUACAUUGGUGCUAAGUUAUAGCUUGUCAUAGACAACUUGUUGACUAUGUUAAGUCUUGUAAUUUACUCGCAGAUGCUAUUUUACCUACGCUUAGGAUGUUGACGAGACUGUCGAUCUCAUCUAUACAUGACUCUGUGCAUAUCAAUAAGCGGAGGAAAAGAGGGCUAUUACCUACGCUUAGGAUGUUGACGAGACUGUCGAUCUC
rnacentral:rRNA from 1 species